GGAGAUGGGUAGGCUAAUAGCCAUCUUAAUAGCCAUAGCUUAAUAGACAAGAUGGUCUUAAUGGUUUUUUCCAACCCUGAUAAUUCUAUGAUUCUAAGACCAGCACAUACUGAUGCUUGAUGAAUGAUAAUGCUGACCAUUUCUCUGGGUCUGUAAUAUGAAACUAAUGACAAGUUUUAUUUAAAAAAUUGUGUUUUUUUUUUUUUUUUUAGGGAUGAGAGAAUGCUUUUUUAAGGCAAAGUUGUGAAGAGUUGUGUCAUUUCUGUAAAAGAAAAAGUAGGAGGAGAAUGAGAAAGAUUUUUCUAAGAAGCUUAACAGAGAAACUGAGAGAAUAUCAUCAAAGACUGCUCUUUUUUGAGUGCCUUAGGUUCUCAUCUGUUUGUGACAACACAAAUCCAAUAUGCCAUAAGCAUGUUGAAAUGUUCUGGCCUUUACAGUUUUCCCAGCCUGAGGGAAGACUUCAUUUAUGGAAUAGUACUCCUGAAGAGCCAAGGUUUGGUGUUCAUGAAAAUUAUCAGGAUUUUCACCCAGAUGGAAAACUCUUUCAGCCUUAUCCUCAGAUGCGCAACUCAGAUGCACCAUAAACAGUUCUGGCUGAUUUAUCUCUGUCAAAAACUGCUUCAUAGUGCAAGGCAUCGGACAUAAAUCCCUUAUGAGGAUCUUCAAAUUUCAUCCUGAAUAAAAGAAGCAGAAAACAAUAAUUGCAGCCAUAGGAGUGGAUUUGCUAUCAUUUAGAAUAAAUUAACCCAAGAUGCAGAACCUUUUGGUACUCAGAAAUCUUUACACUUCUAUGUCAUUAUGGUGGAUCUUGGCAAAUACCAUCCACAGUGGUAAAGAACAGAGGUGCAGCUUGACAGUAGAGUAACGCCCACUUCGAAGGGAUGCCAUUUUUCAAUAGAGGUCAAAGGAAAAGAAGGAGAAUAUGGGUGGAUUUUGAUAUUUUCAGUAUUCAUGCCUAAGACAUUUUUCCAGUUAAGAAUCAGUUACAUUUUAUUACAUCUAUAUCUUUGACUUAACUGCAGAGCUAUCAUUGGUCUUACCUUAGAAACACUAUUUUAAAACCAGUGCAUACAGAACAAAUACACUUAACUGUUGUGUGUGUGUUUAAAUGGAAACAAAUUUUCAUGUCAAUGUUUUUGGCAUAUCAAAAAUAUUAAGAAAAAAAUUCUUCCUUCUUCUCUCCCUUCCUCCCUUCCUUCUUUCUCUACUCUCAAUAUUUCUACAAAAAUUGUGACUGCUUCUAUUUUUGCUACUCCACAAAACAUGUAUAAAAAAGGAUAAGAAAAUCUCAUCUGGAGACAUCAUCUCAUUAAAUAAAAAAGGUUAAAAUAAAUAAAUGAGAUUAUAAGGAGAGACAUAAGCGAAGGCAAAGAAAAGCAAAGGAAGGAGACGAAAAAGCAGACAUGAAAAACAUGCCAGUGAGAUGGAAGGCAUGUUCUGUAGAAUGAAUGAGUAGCUGAAAUAACUUAAUUGUUAAUAGGUCCAAGUAUGUAUGAAAACAGUUAGGAAUUCAUUUUCCAACCAGUUUUCUAAGCAUGCUACAAUGAAGAGCGCUUUUCAUAAAUUUAAAUUCUAAUCAGUCUUCUAGCACUUUUCACAUUAAGUCAUUCCCCUUGUUUUAUGAACAGGAUUUGAAGAACUAGAGAAUUCAAAUAGGAAAUGCUCACAUUAAUUUACUGAUCUUUGCUGACAAUUUGAUUAUCUUCCAAUCACCAGACUAAUCUUUUCAGUACACAGAUGAGUAAUUCAAUGCCAAGUUUAGUGCAGCCAAAAUGAUAGCAAACACGUUAAUAAACAAGGCUGUAGUUAUUUCAGAACUGAUGACCCAAAUAAUAUGAAAGUUGAGAGAGGGUACAAUAUGUUAAAGAAUCUUAUUUUUUAACCAAUUUUGAUAGCUAAGACAAUCUAAAGUAAUACCAGUACACUAAGUAGUUAGUGUUAACAUUUUUUCAGUAGCACUGAGAGAAAUUAGACAUCUAGCUACCAGUUAAGUAAUUGGUUCCUUUCACAACUGCAACUUCACUUUCCUAAAACAGGAACAAAAUGAACCCGGAACAGAUAUCUGAAAAAUAGUUCAGCCUUUCCUAACAGGAAGAACUACUGCUUCACACUGUGCACAUGCAAUCUCUUGAUAGGAAAAGAAAUACAGACAGAAAUAAAUAGGAAAGCAGAAUACUCCAAAGAGGAAAACCUGUGUUAGUUCUUUAGCAGUCACUUACCUUCCUCCAGAGUGCAAGAUGUGUGGAGGAAUGUGGUUCAGUACAUGAUGAUGGCACACACAGGAUAAGCAACACAGAGAUACACAUGUAAAUGGAAAAGAAAGGAAAUAACCACUUCUAUGCAGCUCUUGCAAAACUUGGAAUACGGUCAAAUAUGGAAAUGCAGAAGGGAAAUGUGCUUGGCCAUGCUAGAAGGUAAAUGCAGUAGAACAGUUCAGGAGUAAGGUCAGCUGGAAAAUGUUUGGCUUCGCUAAGCAGAGUUGAAUUUGACUUCAGAAUUACGGAAUUGUAAUUAUAUUCACCUACAUACAUGGCAUGAUCUAUGUGAAGCAGAGUAGUUGUAAAAUGAACCUAAAGGUUUAGAAAAUAAAACUGACCAUUUUUAGCUGGUGAGGAUCUCAGGAUGAAACUUUGUAGUAGCCUGUAAACAUUAGAAAGAAAAAGAUAUAUAUGGAAAUUUGUCCUUCUUUAUUGCUUGUUAACUCUUUAUGUUUCCUCCACAGGGUUGUGGUACUAAUGCAUGAUGCUAUGAAAACAAAAUGGUAAAGCUUAUAACAAAGUUUCUAAAUUUCAGGUGGGAUAGGUGCCAUUGCAGUCUCUACUGUAUAUAUCUGCCAUUAAAAUAAAAGCAAAAAACAAACAAACAGAAAACAAAACAAACAAACAAAAAAUCCACCCACAAAACAAACAAAACAAAACAAAACAAAAAACCAAAAAACACCUGUUAUUAAGAAAAAAGUCAAUAGAUUUUAAGUCCCAGAGACUAUGUUCUGCUAAAACUAAAAUACUGGAAACUGGAAACAUUCAGCUCAAUUCUCUAAUCAAUCUUGGAUAUAUGAGGGCUGCUGUGAAAGUAAUGCCUCUUAUUUUAUUACGUUGGCCCCACAGCAUCAAAAGUGGAUGUUGGUGGCAUGGCAGUAGAGGUUGAAUCUUCCCACCAAUAUUCUGUUAUAUUUUGUUGUCGUGUGACAGAUGGCAGCAGAGGGCUGUCUGACAAAACGGUGUCUGACAUGGAGGUGUGUAUGAAGCAAAGAUGUGUCGUUUAUUUCAUCCAUGUGGAAAAAUAUUGCAUCCACUGACUUUAUCAAAACUUGCUGAAUGUUUAUGGAGACCAAACAGUGGAUGUGAGCACAGUGUGGUAAUAGGUGGUGUGUUUAGCAGUGGAGACAUUGACAGUGGUCACCUCCACUGUAAGCAGUGGUCACCUCCACCUGUAAGCAUGGUUUACAGGUCCUUGUUCAUUGAUGGUGGAAAAUGCAGAGCUAAUGGUGGUAACUGUAUCGAAAAACAGUGUUAAUAGAGAAUUUGCUCUAUAAAGUAGUGUUACUGUACUCUUUUUAUCUGUUGUAUUUUCCAUGAAAAUAAAUAAGAAACAUUAUUUUUGGAGCAACGUAUGUAUGUGGCAGGGGGUGUGUGCACAGGGGGGUAGUUUCAACAUGCACAUGCAACUCAGUACUUGUUGAAACUAUUGAUUGUUAAGAACAAUAAAGAUGGAUGGGGCCAGAUAUUUUAUUAUGACCAAGAUACUGAGGCUGGAUGUCAGGAUUCUCUGUGGAUGCAACUUGAAAUCUGCCAUUGAACCUUUUGAGCUCUAUUCCCUUCUGUAGUAGCAAUUCUAUAAGAGCUGAUAUAAUAUAUGCCAGACUCUGAGGGAUGUAGAGCUGUUUAAAAUUGUAGCCUAAGAUCAAAGUGAUGCUGUUGCAGCCGCACACCCUGUUUUUCAUCUUCACACCAUUUCCCCUGUCAGCAAUAGAGACACCAAAUGUAUUAAGAACUUCUAUUCCACCAGGAGAUCACUGUUCCUCUUAGAUCACUCUUAGAUACUUCUUCCCCUCCCUAAUUAUUUGGCCUUUAAACUAGAUGACAUUGAUAGUUCAGAGAGAAACCAGUGUACUGCAGAACUUAGUUUGUUCUAUUUCUCACUUUUAUCUGACUGCAUAUUCUUUAUUUUUAUCUCAGUUUCUAAAAGAAUGUGUUAAAACAUUCCAACACCUUACAUGUACUAGUGAUGCUGAAUACAAAAUGUGAGUUGUGGAUAAUGAAAGGUAACAUUAGAUUUUGAUCACCAUGCUAUAAAACUUUAGUUCUCAUUGCUUUUAUAUGAUGAAUUGAAACAAAUGUAAUCACAUAUAUUUAAAUGUGAAUAAUCUA
ensembl:lncRNA